CCAAAUAAUAAACAAAAAUAUGCUGUCAUCUUCAACCUCUUGUGGGAUGGAGGAGAAGUCUGACAACUUAACUUGGCUUUGCUAUCCCUCAUGGGCAAGCGUGCUUCCUUUCCUUCCUCUGAUGCAUUGCAAGCGUAAUGUGUCUUGUCCUGCUGCCAAUACCACACAAUAGAUUACAGUGCUUUUCUGAGCAGAGAUACUGGUAUUUUAAUGGCAGAACUGAGUGUAGUUGCUGUGCGGUGAGAAGAAGCAUCUAAACUCUGUCCCUGCAACACCAAAUGCUUCUGUCUGUCAUAUAAAGUUACUGAUCACUCUCAGCCACUCAAGUGUACCUUCGCAUUAACUGCUGUCAUCAGGGCAUUCUGGAAGCCAGUGUACCACAGGUGGCCAGUGGAUAGCUGAAAGCUGUCACCUACUACACAGGUAACAGACAUUCCUCCACACAGUCCUUGAGGAACGCUGAAAUUUCAAGGAAGAGAAUCAAAGGCACAACGCUUGCAAUGAAGGGAGCCGGCACUCAGCCUGCUGCUGGACAGACCUCUCAUCUCCCUCUCGUGCUGCCUCUGCUGUGGAUCAGUGCUGCAGGGGCUCAGGCUGCCAUUCUCAGACACUACACCAGCGGCAUUAAUGCAGCCGGGGCACUGACAAGCUGAGCUAAGACUUGCAGCAGCGCUGCUUCAACUCAAAGUAACGUGUGGUGCAAAAAAAAAAAGUCUCUUCUUGGCAGAGGACAACACAAAGCUGUAAGAGGGCAAACAGAUGGGGACUGCCUCUACCCUGGUCAGGAAAAAUAGAAGUGUCGUUUGUGAAAAACCCCUGGCAUUUCAAGAGCUGCAUUCCAUUGUGUCAGACAAAAUGAGACCUUUCACAGCUUACCGAUGGGUGGGUGAGCAGUGAAGCUGGGGCUGGCCCAGCCCAGGUGAGCGCCCUCUGGCACUGACUGCAGGGCACUCAGACUCGUGCUCUCUGGCCUCGUGCACCUCCUGGAGAAAUCUGUUUUCAAAAAAGUCACCUUUGAGGAAGCAUUUCUGCAUGGCAAGUACAACUUCUAUCAGGAAAGCUGCUUGAAGCGCUCCUGAUCAGAUGGUGUGUGCUUUCUGAUGGGCUUUUCUUUCUCGGGUGACUUCCAGGAAGAUGUCUUGUCAUCAGUGAGAGCAAUGGGCACAGCUGGAAGCAGGAAACCCACCUUUCAGUGCUGGAUAGUGACUGUAUGCCCUAUGCUAUAUAUCAUCAUCUCUCUGCCUCCAUUUCCGUUCUGCUUCCUAUUUCUCUCCUUUGUAAGACAGAUGCACACUUAUUUAUUUCACCGAGCACCAUGCAGUCCUGGUGUCAUUUGGCAUCUGUGGAUGCUACAGUAAUAGGAAUAGUCAUUACAAAGCAUUUUCUGAUAUUAAACAAAUUACAUAAAGAGAAAAUAAAGUACAAAACACAAGUGGUAACUCACAGAAAUCAUUAUGUACAUUGUUCUUGUUGGAAAACCUAUCUGAAUGUCAGUGAGCUGAAUGUCAGACGCUGGAUGGGGUGUCCUGGGGUGCAGGCGAGUGCCAAAGCGAGUGGUAAGGCCUGGCUGGCAUUCCAACACAGGAGCCUUGGGUCAAUGCUGCCACGUCUCUCUCUCAGUAGUCAUAAUUCGCUUCACACUCUACACAGUGUGAGAGUGAACCCUUCGUGAGAAUGCAGAAAUAAGAUGUGUGAAAAAGUGAAUAAAUAUUGCAGUAAUUUCA